GACGUAGGGCGCGAGCGUUGUCCGGAUUUAUUGGGCGUAAAGAGCUCGUAGGCGGUGUGUCACGUCGAUCGUGAAAACUUUCAGCUUAACUGGGAGCUUGCGGUCGAUACGGGCAUCACUGGAGUUCGGCAGGGGAGACUGGAAUUCAAGGUGUAGCGGUGAAAUGCGCAGAUAUCUUGAGGAACACCGGUGGCGAAGGCGGGUCUCUGGGCCGAUACUGACGCUGAGGAGCGAAAGCGUGGGGAGCGAACAGG
rnacentral:rRNA from 1 species